GCCUGGGUGGCUCAGUCAGUUAAGCCUCCGACUUUGGCUCAGGUCAUGAUCUUGCGGUUCGUGGGUUCGAGCCCCACAUCAGGCU
rnacentral:tRNA from 1 species